rnacentral:rRNA from 1 species
UUAGACACGGAAAACGCGCCGGGCUAGGGUGGAAUAGCAGUCAGUGGUGGAGGUGGUGGUUGGGGGUUUUCAAGAAGGCGAGGGCUGCUGGCGGUACCGGCGAGUCUCGGAGGAGAAACGGCGGCGGCGCGGAGAGAAGGUCCGAGGACGGAGACGGGCGGGAAAGGUCAGCGAGGCUUAACAGACGUGGGGUCUUCCGCGGUGGCGGCGGCGGUCCCGCGAGCAGCAGCGGCUGCGGUGGUUCUUCCGUCAGCGCCACGAGUUCCCGUGGAGCGUCCAGCUCCCGCAGCAGUGCGAGUGGGUCCUUCUGCUGCCAGGAUGCUGCCACUUGCAAGCAUAGUGACCUGAACGAGGACCUGAAGUACCGAAGGUGGAGGUACUCAAACCACUGUGCUGAUUACCUACGUAUAGUUGUCCAGGUGUAAAAUUGGGUUUGCCGGACUGUGUACCACGUGGUCUUCUACUUCAGGCAGUACGCCCACUGGACCCUUUGUAACAACGGUUACGACUUCCACACCGCCUCUGUUGGUAACAGCUAUCGGUCUAAGGAAACUGACCGGGAUUACGUCAACAACCCUCUCGCAAACAACAAGUACUCGAACUUCUACUGAACCCUUUUCCACCCGUACUCGAGUCGGAGUCAUGACCUUUACGACCACCUUCUGAACGUACACCACAACAACCGGACUGGGGCAACAUCCAGCGACCAAAGGUAGAGACCAAAACGUAGAGGUCAGUAUGACCAAAGGUAGAGACCAAAACGUAGAGGUCAGUAUGAACAUUGCUGCGGUAAGAGCAAAAUGGACCUAAAGUUUAUAGCCUACGAAUUAUCAAAGACAACUAGCAAACAUAGUCACAUUUCAACCCAAAUAGUUUAUUUACAAACGUGUGAAAGCAGAACAACUCGAUACUUCGCACUUGAGCCCUUAAAACCACACGCAUUCGAUAUUUUACGAGUUUCUUAAUAUAAACACCUACAGGAAUAAAGGUUUGAGCCACAGUUAUUAUAGUAACAAUGAGGCGUUUUAUUUUUAUUUUAGUAACAACAAAGACUAAAUCAAGUUUCUCUUAUAAGGUCCAGUCGCAAUUUUGUUUUCGCUGUCCCGAAAUGUUUUUGGUUAAGAGUCAAAAAAAAAACGUUUUAUGUCAUCCACUAACGAAACCGGCAAAACUACUGCUAAUACUGACAACCCCAGACCCAAAGCAAGAACGGUUGCACCGAUUGGCCAAACGUCCGCUGUCUAUCCCGAUCCAUAAGAAAGCAAAUGGGAAGGACGGAGAGGACACUGAACUAAACAAGGGAGAACAAGAGAGUAGAGAGAAACUAUACAACUGCCGCUUCACACCACCGCCUCUGCUGCUGCGUUAUCCGGAACCACCACCACCUCUGGGAUACGGUAGCCUCCUACGAGCGCCCCCGAGGUUGGGCUGGAUCAACCACGUGUGGUACUACGGUGUUGGUAGCGAGCUCAUGCACCUCCGCUGUUGAACCCGGUACCACAGUUCCACUGAAGCUACCCUUCGCUGGCCACCUUGAGCCGUAAGCCGUUGUAACUCAUUCGUGGAGGAGAAAGCUUUGGAUCGGAAGAAACACACACGAAAUCUAAGAUCCCAAUUCCGCUGAAGUUGCCCUUCGCUGGCCACCCGGAUCGGUAAGCCGUCGUAGCUCAUUCGUGGAGAAAGCUUUGGAUCGGAAACACACACGAAAUCUAAGAUCCCGAUCCCAAGUUCGUUUAAUCCCCGUUUACUUGUUAAACAACUAGACAUAAACAAGUAAUGUGAUCCAACAAGUAUUUAUUUAUCCUUAACUUAAACAAUUAAAUGUUUUUUAUAGAACGAAAAUACACGUAACAAUACACAAAUAAAUUGAACUACAUAAUUUGACAUUCAAUACCAAUAGAACAUCCAACAAAAAGUUUCCAUUACAUAUAACAUGUGAUAUCCAACAAGUAUCCUUAAAUUAAACAAUUAAAUGUCUUUUAUGUGAUAAAGAUUCCAUCACAAAACAGAUAAAUUGAACUAAACAAUUCGUCAUUACAAAUAACGAUAAUUUGUGAUUUCAUACAACAAUAACUAAAAUAUUUGUUGUUACAUAUAACAUGAACAUGUGAGAUCCAACAAGUAUUUAUUUAUUCUUAACUUAAACAAUUAAAUGACUUUUAGGGAACCAAAACUGUCCUACAGAGACAGAUAAAUUGAACUUAAUAAUACGUCAGUACAUAUAACAUCCAUAAAAACAUUGAUUUAAUCGUUAUAUCCAACCACAUUUCCGUAACAAAACAAAUAAUUUGACAAACAAAAAGGCAGAAACAGAAUCCAAACCUAUUACUACAAACCCUUCAAUUUUCAUGUAAAAGUACUGUCUCUAUUGGAACUCUCCUGGUACACGUAAAGUCUGCAUUGUUUAGUAUUAGACUAUCUUGAGUAUCUCUAUCUUCCUAUACCAAGAUCCCUAAUAUACACAAAACAAUCUUUACAACCACACCCCUAUUGUCCUAACCUUCUCUGAUCACUACUACUAUUCCACCUACUUUACGAAUUGGUAUAACGAUUACUUCUAUUCUUCUAUCAAUUGGAGUGUCAGUGAUCCCAGGGGCUAGGUUCUGGGCAACUAGCUUGUCCGGUAAGAUGUCCCACUAAGCCUUUAACGCCUUCGAACCAAACUAGUUCGACGACUUAUAACCUUUGUUCGAUAUCGCGAAUGAGGCCCUUUAAUAUAACUUCGUGUCUUGACCAACUUCUAAUGCUUCGCGAAACUUAAACUUAUUCUGGUACGAGGAAGAAAAAGUAUUUUACCCACCAAACCAACAACUAGGUAAUUAGUUUUUAUUUACGGUACAAACACUCGUCGUUGAAGGUAAAUCACUAAAACCUCUCUGGUGGUACAUACUUUAUUAAUUACUACCUCAAGAAAAGUAUAGUGGUAGGUUUUUAAAUCUGCCUCGUUGUGUUCAAGUCGUGCGUUUACGUGAGAUCAAUAUGAGGUGUGUUGUCUCGAGUUUAGUACCAUACCUCCGACCCUUACGAUACCUCGUUCUAGUAGAACUCUUUCUGGUACACCAAUACCUCCUUCCGUUACGUUAUCUCGUACUAGACCUAGUUCUCCUUAACCUUCUUUACGACCUCGUUUUGUACUCUUGUUUUUAAAUCUCCAAAUCCUUAGUGUUCUUCGGUUGUCUCUUCCACCUCAAUCAGUCUUCUUUCGAAGAUCGGGAAAACUGAAUUAUACUAAACUAAACCUUCUCAUACUCCUUUAUUAAUGAUCCGAUCUACUGUACUCCUCCGUCUCUCUCCUGGGCGAGAAAGUAAAACUUCCUCUGUGACUACACCUACUUGACAUACUC